UCUCACACCAAUCGGCGAUCAGGCAAGAGGAGGCGGGACUCGGAACCUCUUCCCGCCAAUUGGAAAGGAGGAGAGGCGGAGCCACCUUCCUCCAAUAGGACUUUGCGAGAAGAGCCUGAGCCUCCUGAAGAUGAGAUUGCAGUAUCAGGGGAUGCCAGAGCUGGAAGAGACCUUAGAAAACUCAUUUGACAGAGGAGAAAACGGAUGUCCUGUUUCCUCUAACCCUAAGCUACAUCUUCACCUUUCCCAGGAGUUCUUAACCCUUUUGCAUUUGAGAGAGACAGACAGAGUAUAUGUGAGGACCCCUUUUGGCAAUCUGGUGAAGCUUAUGGACCGAUUCACAGAACAAUGACUUUAAAUGUAUAAAAUAAACAUAGGUUUGCAAAGGAAACAUAUAUUGAAUAAUACAACUAUCAAAAACUAGCGGAUUGAAUACUGGACUUGGAGUCAGGAAGACCAGGGUUUAAAUUCAGCCUCUAAUACUAGCUUUGUAGGCAGCCUACCCUAGGUAAGUCACUUCACCUGUUUGCCUCAGUUUCCUCAUAUGUAAAAAUGGGAUAAUAAUAGCACCUCCCUGCCUGGAUUGUUUAGAGGAUCAAGUGAGCUUUACAUACAUGUUAGCUAUUGAUAUUAUUAGUGGAUAGAGUGCUAGACUAGAAGUCAGUUUUCUGACUUCUGAUUUCUAAUUCUGCCACAAACACUAGCUGUGUGGCAUUGGGCAAGUCACUUCACCUCUCUCAAUCUCAAUUUCCAUCUGUUAAAUGUAAAUAAAAAUAUCUACUUCACAUAGAUGCUAUGAGGAUGAAAUGAGACAAUCUGUGUAAUUCACAAACCUAAAAAUAAGUUCAUAGAGCCCAGUUUAAGGAACACUGAUAUCCUCUUAAUCAGUUUAUCAGACAGUUAAAUGAGCACUAUGUGCCAGGCACUGUGCUAAGCACUAGGAAUACAAGAAGCAAAAGACAGCCCCUGCCCUCCAGGAAUUUAUAACUUAUUGGGAGAGACAAUAUGCAAAUAAUAUAUUCAAAGCAAGGUAUAUAAAGAACAAAUAGGAAAUGAUUAACAGAGGGAAGGGAGGAGAAUGAAGGGGAGGCUUCUAGUAAAAGAUGGCAUUUUAAUUGAGACUUAAAGGAAGUCAAGGAGGUCAGUAGCGGUAGAGGAGGUGGGAGAACAUUUCAAGCAUGGGGAACAAUAGCUUCUUAUUACCUCCAAGAUCAUAUACAAAAUGCUCUCUUCAUAAGCUAACCUUUACUUCCCUACUCCUUUACUCCUCUCUCCAAUGGCAUUGGCCUUUUGACUGACAAACAAAAUACUCCAUCUCUUAGCUCAGAUUCCAGGCAUUUUCUCUGGCUGUCCUCCAUGCUUGGAAACUUCUUCUUCCUCCUCUCCCAUUACUGACCUCCCUGGCUUCUUUAAGUUCAAGCUGAUAGAUAGUUGCCAACUGGCUAGCAACAUCAUAGAACAAAAGAAAAAAUAUUUGCAUAAUCUUAAAGCAGGUAGCAAAAGGAAUAAAGUGAGGUUGCUAAGCUACUUAUUUAGGUUAUUGAGUAAUAGGGAAAGGAUGUCAGGGUAAAUGGAGUAGGGAGGGAGAAAGUUGUGAUUUUGGAUUAACCUUGGUGUUGCCCAAAUCAAAUCUGGUCUCAAGAUUAGGUCUGUUCAGGGUAGAAACAUUUCCUAGUAAUUAAUAUCAUCAGAACAUCUGGAUAUCUGGGUAGGCCUGGAGGUCCAAGAUAGUAGGGAAAGACUCCUUGAGAUAGACUCAAUAAAAUGCAGACUCAAAGUCUGUCUUUGUGCAACCCUACAGGCUCCAUUUCUUUGACCUGUAAAGAUGGUUUUAAAUGUUAAAAGAGGGAGAAAAGGUAGUUCUCCUAGACUCAUAGCACACACAUUUUUUUUUCAUUUCCUUUGUACAAAUUAGAUCCUAGAUUCAGUGGUUUUGUUGCUGCUAAAGUACAAAUGUUUCAAUACUAUUUUGGUGCCUUCUGGCAAAUUUUAGUCAUGCUACCCUCCUUACAACACUGUCUUCUUCAGCUGAAUAGAUCUGUGAUAAUUGUAAUGGGAAAAACCUAGAAUUUGGAAACAGAGGUUGUGCAUUGAAAUUCUGAGUCUAAAAUUUAUGGGCUAUUCUUAGGUCAUUCAUUCCUUUUUUGUGCCUCAGUUUCCCCAUCCAUCAAAUAAGAGGAUUAAACUAGUUAAUAUCUGAGAACCUUUCCAGCUCCAAAUAAUAAGCUAGAAUAUCCAUCCAAGUAGAGCCCAUCAACAUGCUGAGGACACUUGAGGACUACGCAAUGUGAGAAUGAUUGAAGGAAUUAGAACAGUUUGGAGAAGAAAACUACAGAAUAUAUGAUACUCAAAAAAUAUUUUUUUGAAGGGCUAUCAGGUAGAAGAGAGAUUUCACUUGUUCUACUAGGCAUCAACAGAACUAGGAGCAGCAAUAGGUACAAGUUGCAGAGAGGUGGAUUUAAGUUCAAUAUAAGGAAAAAUUCUUUUAAAUUGGUUACUUCAUGGUGAAACAUAGGACUCAUCAGGUAGUAGUAGGCUUUCAAGCCUCAUGAGAGGUUUUCAAGUAAACCACUUGAGAAUGUUGCAAAGAUGACUUUACAUUUCAAUAUGUAUUAAACUAGAAGAUCUCUGAAGUCUUGUCCAUUUCUGAACUUGGGUUGUGUAUUUCCUAAUGUUUACCACCAAUUAAAAUAUAUUGAUUACUUCUUCAAUAAACUUUGAAAAUAUCAUGCUAAA